GACGAACGCUGGCGGCGUGCUUAACACAUGCAAGUCGAACGGAAAGGCCCUGCUUUUGUGGGGUGCUCGAGUGGCGAACGGGUGAGUAACACGUGAGUAACCUGCCCUUGACUUUGGGAUAACUUCAGGAAACUGGGGCUAAUACCGGAUAGGAGCUCCUGCUGCAUGGUGGGGGUUGGAAAGUUUCGGCGGUUGGGGCUGGACUCGCGGCUUAUCAGCUUGUUGGUGGGGUAGUGGCUUACCAAGGCUUUGACGGGUAGCCGGCCUGAGAGGGUGACCGGCCACAUUGGGACUGAGAUACGGCCCAGACUCCUACGGGAGGCAGCAGUCGGGAAUAUUGCACAAUGGGCGGAAGCCUGAUGCAGCAACGCCGCGUGCGGGAUGCCGGCUUUCGGGUUGUAAACCGCUUUCGACUGUGACGAAGCGUGAGUGACGGUAAUGGGUAAAGAAGCACCGGCUAACUACGUG
rnacentral:rRNA from 1 species